rnacentral:tRNA from 1 species
GGCGGAGUGGAGCAGCUUCCAGACCUGGCGGGCCUGGGGAAGGUCGAUCGAUUUGUAGUGCGACACCACGAUCUCGCCG